rnacentral:rRNA from 1 species
GUCGAACGCGAAAGUGGGGGCAACCCUGCGAGUAGAGUGGCGAACGGGUGAGUAACACAUCGGAACGUACCCAGGAGUGGGGGACAACCUCGAGAAAUCGAGGCUAAUACCGCAUACGUCCUGAGGGAGAAAGCGGGGGAUUCGCAAGGACCUUGCGCUCGUGGAGCGGCCGAUGUCGGAUUAGCUAGUUGGCGGGGUAAGAGCCCACCAAGGCUACGAUCCGUAGCUGGUUUGAGAGAACGACCAGCCACACUGGGACUGAGACACGGCCCAGACUCCUACGGGAGGCAGCAGUGGGGAAUUUUGGACAAUGGGGGCAACCCUGAUCCAGCCAUGCCGCGUGAGUGAAGAAGGCCUUCGGGUUGUAAAGCUCUUUCGGCCGGAACGAAAUCGGGUGUGUGAAUAACGCAUCUGGAUGACGGUACUGGAAGAAGAAGCACCGGCUAACUACGUGCCAGCAGCGGCCGGUAAUGGCCAGCAGCCGACGGUAAU